ACGAAAACAGAACGUUUAAUGAUCCCCAGGAAUGGAAUCCCCCACCCCAAGCAUUUUGCUGAGAGGUGCCUAGCUGAAGAGGAGGAAGACGACAAGGAGAUUCUUAACCUAGAAGCAGCUGCAUUUCGUGGAUGUGAGGAAUUGUCUCCACAGUCUGUGAAACAAGGGAAGCUGGUGGAUAUGAACUUCCCAGUAUGGAAGAACUGUAAAGACAGGGAUGGGUGAUCUUUGCAAUUUGGAAAGAACUCUUUCCACAGCCCAGAUUCCAGCUGCUGUUUUUAUAGCUCCCCCUCACUCUUCAGCCUGCUCUAAGACCUUCUUUUAACCCAUCAGUAAACUCUGUGUGUAUAUAUAACAUUAUAUUACUUGUUAGUAGCUUUUUCAAGGCACUUUGAACUCAUAAAAAUAAACUAAGAAGCAAA